UCAAUUCCACAAGCAUUUUUUAACCCUCUCCCUCUACUGAAUGAUUUUAUAUUCAUAUAAAACACCUUCUGUUAAAACUAGUAACAAGAAAUUGACUUUCUCCUAAAUAUAAACUUAAACCAGCUUUGACCACCUACUGGUACUUAACGCAAGUGAUCAAACUAUAGUAACCCCCCCCCGCGAACCCUAUAUUCCUUUAACGUUACCCUAACACCAGAAUAUUCUAGGAAAGAUUAAAAGGGAAGGAAGGAACUCGGCAAAUACUAGCCCCGCCUGUUUACCAAAAACAUCGCCUCCUGCUAACCCAUAGGAGGUCCAGCCUGCCCAGUGACAAAGUUCAACGGCCUCGGUACCCUAACCGCGCGAAGGUAGCAUAAUCACUUGUUCUUUAAAUAAGGACUUGUAUCAACGGCACCACGAGGGUUAGACUGUCUCCCCUCCCCAAUCAGUGAACCUGACCUCUUCGUGAAGAGGCGAAGAUGAUCAUAUAAGACGAGAAGACCCCAUGGAGCUUAAAACUAAGUAACACCCUCUUAUACGCAUACCCUAAAAAACAAGAAAACUGUUACCUAAUUUUUGGCUGGGGCAUCCGAGGAGUAAAGCACAGCCUCCUUGACGAACCAUCUUAGAAUUACUAUUCCAAGAAACAGUAACCUGAAGUAACAUGACCCGAUAAUCGAUCAACGAACCAAGUUACCCUGGGGAUAACAGCGCAAUCCAUUUCAAGAGCUCAUAUCGACAAAUGGGUUUACGACCUCGAUGUUGGAUC
rnacentral:rRNA from 1 species